rnacentral:tRNA from 2 species
GUCGUAUUCGUCUAGUGGCUUAGGACGCAAGGUUUUCAUCCUUGUAGACGCGGGUUCGAAUCCCGCAUACGACUCCA